AGGGAAAAACAUAACACAUAGCCGGAAAUGGCAAGAGUCGGAGUUACAAAUAUGGCAAGUUACAUGCGGGGUGUUACAUAUACGUCCAACUCUUUCUAACAGGAGCAUCGCGGCCUCUCUGCCAAAGGUUGCAGAAUUGUUGGAUGCCCUCAACCAUGAAAAACCUCGACUCAUUAACAGUGGCAAAAUUCUGCAUUUUAGGUGUACAAUAUUUGAGUUACGUUUUUUGUGUGAGACAUUUCAGUGAAUCCACGUUUAAAAGAAGCUUUCAUCCUGAGGUACAAUUAGAUAACUCAUGUUUAUUUUUUGUUUCCUGGAUCCUCUGAUCAGCUACUACUGCAAUUGUACAUAAGACACAGAUGUCCAUAGCCGACUAACCAUUGGUGUGGAUGUUUCCCUGAGAGGAUGCAUUAUUAUACGCUACACUCGCGUGUCGCUCGUAGUAUGACGCAAUCGCCAACUUAUAAUUAAAACUUCUACGCGAUAGACACCGAGAGUAAGCCGUCGGGUUUGUCUUUGUCGUCCACUAUCACUAUGUCCCCUAUACGGACGACGCUGACGGCCAGGCUCUCCGCCGGUCCGGACGCCGCCGGCGAGGUGGCGUGGUCGCCGUGGUGCACCGAUGGCCUGGAGACGAGGUUGUAUGGCUGGAUCCUCUCCACUUUCCUCACCCGCACCACGCCGUCGACGGGCAGCUCAUUGCCCGUGCUCGUGCUCGUCGCCACCAUCUUGCUUCUGCCGCCACCGCGGAACAUUGCCGAACUUUGCUAUUCUAAUAUGUGGAUAUAUAUCGAUCUAAUUAGCUGGAUUAACGUAGAUCGAUCUCCAGCGAGAAGACUCUGUGUUUUCUUUGAGCUCGGUUGGGUCCUCAUUUAUAGGCUCCAUCCUAGCUAGGAGAGGUGUCUUCUCGUGGGGCUCUCUGCAGAUGCUUAAUUCUACACUGUUGUGAAGUGGGGCAAUCAUUCGAUCAUGAGCUGCUUUAAUUUGGAUAGAAAAGCAUGUCUAUAAUGCUUGUAAUGUUGAUCCCAAAUGUUGGGUCGUUGCUGUGCAAAGUGGCCUUCAUGUGACUGGGCAUCUUCGUAGAGCCUCCCAUGUGAAGCUUGCAUCGUUGUUCCGGUCGAAUUCGAACCCGAUGCCCAAAGAGACAAAGGGAACUCGACCAAAUCAAGCUAGCUCGCUUGUCAUGUGUGGUUAGUAGGGCUCCCAUGCGCGUAGAGCAACCGGAUCAAUCAAGCUAUCAAGAUCAUUGGUAAAAAGAUCUUUAGUAACAUUGGCACACAUGGGGAGAUUAAGAAGGAAACAUAUGUUGUUUGAAACAUAUGUGAGUUAAAAAAAAGGAAGCAUUUUUUGCUAGAACUUUCGGGAAAUACUAGUCGACUAAAAUAGGAGAAAUGAUGUUCUACCAUAAACGAUAUAUUCGGAGCAUGCAUCCAUCGUCUGUGAUUGCUUUGAGAUUUGUGCUACGUUUUUUUGUUGUUCUCAUAAUUUGUCUUGAUUCAAAGUGUUACAUUGGUUUUUCCUCUCGUUUCAAAAUUAUUCAUUGUCUAUCAUUCUGUAGCAACAUAUCUGAUCUAAAACAAGUGCAUUAUUUUUUGUUGAUACACAAUAAAACAUUAUGAUGCACUUCGAAACACGACGAAAACCGAGUGAAACAUUACAAAAUAGGAUAAAUUGUGACAACAGCCAGAAAAGUUGCACGGACCUUAAAGCAACCACGGACAGUAGAUCCAUGCACGAGAUAUCUGUGCAUGAUAGAAAAAUCAGGCUUGCUAAAAUAGCUGCUUUGGUGAAAUUUUAGUGUGAUGACCAAUGAAUCAAUCGACCACCCCCGUGAUGAGGGCUUUGCCCAUCUCAUUGGCUCCCAACUCACAUGCUAACUGCCCGUGGAAGCUGGCACGACGUAGCCCUCGCAAUGGACUGAGCCAUUGCAGCACCUACACCCAUGAUCCUUUGGAAGUGGCCUUCUACUCUGGCAUGGCGGUGUUGUUUUACCCCUUCCUUAUCUACUCCUCCAUCGUCCCUCCGGAGUUGUUGCUUCUCCCACGCCGCGCUUGGCAACGGUGGUGUAGGAACCAAGCAAGUGUGGUGCAAUUUAUGGCAUGUGAAAAGCUCACUACAAUCCAACCAAAAUUCACCUUAGAAAAAGUACAUUUCCACUAACACUGACAUAAAAAGUAUAGUAGGCAUUGAAAAGAGACAAAUGACAUGAAAAAUCACAUUGUUUCUAAAUACCAUCAUGACAUAUUGUGAUAUGUCAUUAAUAAGAUAAUGGCAAUUUGACACCAGAGGAUGACGGAGAUGGUGGCGCGGCGUGUGGUUGGUGUUAUCUGGUUCUGAUUAGCCAUUGGUCGCUACUUGUGAGGACGGUGCGGGUACUCUGGAUUGUCCCGAACAUGGGAUUUUGGGCAACCAUCCUUCCUCAUCGAUGACUUCGCUGUGUGGUGGUGAGCAAUUUUGUCGUGGCUUGACUAUCUGCUCGCCCUGCAUGGCCAUCACUCGGACUGUGCGCGUAAGCAGCUGCUAGGAUUGUGGCAAGUGGAGGUGGCAUCAUAUAAUAACUUCGGUUGGGUGGUGCUUCUCAAGUACCCGGUCUGGAGCUCCGGGUUGAAAACCCUAAGUCUGGCCUUUGUUGGUUAUACUUGGCAAUGGCGGUGUCUUUUGCGUCGCCUUGAUGUAGGCAUUGCCUGGAGUUGACCGUGAUCUUUAGGGUGAAAACCCACGAUCUGACCUUCGAUGGUUGGAUCAGGCGACGGCGGCAUUUGCGUGCCGUUCCCUUCAUGGAGGCGUCGUCUUUGAAGAAUCUUUCUCGUAGUCUAUGUGUUGUCAAAAGUUGAUUGGUAUAGAUGGUUGCUGAGGUGCAUCAUCGAUCGCUGUUUUCAUCACUUCAUGAUGUCUUUUUCUUCUUCUUUUUCUUUAUGCGUCUAGGCAUUAGCUUCGGUCUUAUUUGACUUUGCUAUUUGUUGGCGUAAUUUUGUGUGUGUGCGUAUGUUGGCUAUGUGCAUACUAGUUAUGUAGAGGCCGGGUGUAUACUCGUUAUGAUUGUAUCCCUCGAUGCUACAUUAUGAGUCAAUAAAAAACAUCCUUUGUCGAAAAAAUGAAUUGAUGUAGCAUCCACUUGGUGCACCAAUCUACAUAGAUGUACAAUGUAGCACAUACAUCAUAAAUAGAAAUGAUAAAUAACACAUGAAACUUAUGAAUGCAAAUUCGAUCAUGGCAGCUGAAGAGGGAAUGGAAAGUUGAAUAUUACAAACCUCUAUGAAUCAGGGAUCAUGAUGGAAGGCGGAGCAAGCCUAGUAGGAGUUGUUGCAGUAGAUAGCAGAUUAACGGGUACUGCAGGGAUAGGCGGAUCACUAACCCCCUACUGUUGUUUGAGCGACAUGGGCGAGAUGGUCGCCUGGCAUCAAAAUCUAGAUAUUUAUAAUCUAAAAAUUUGGGACCGGUAUCAAGAGAUGGAAGCAGCAACACCUCGCUUGUUCCGAUUUAUAAAUUGUGCUCGCCUACUACAUACUGCACAUGUGCCACACCAACUCAGCCCAUACUUCUUUGGUAGAUAACUAGAUAUUGAGGAAGCAAUGAUCGAUCUUGAAGCAAUUAGUUCACUCAAUCGGUUAUGUAUAUAAUUCAAAAUAUAUAUAUACAUAUUUGUAUAUAUAUUAUAUAUUUGGAAAACCAAUUUUUAUUUUACUACUUUAUAAAAAUAUUGUCUAAUAAGAAUAUUUUAAAAUGUUUAUCAUGUAUUAAAAUAGUCAUAGUUAAAUAAAAUUUGUCCGUCGCUAUUGAAAGAGUUUUCAUCGUGACUUAUAAUUAAAAAAUGGUCUUCACGUAUGAAAAUAACAUUGCGUAUUAAAAUGGAAUCAUGUACAAUUAAAAAUAUCUUUACCGUGUAAUAAAAAAUCUUCAACUAUUUAAAACAAAUGUUCAUAUAAUUUAAUAAUAAAAACAUCCAUGUAAUUUUUAGUUAAUAUUUACACAUCUAAACACACGUGCAUGUUUAAAAGGUGUUGAUUCAUUUAAUGAAAUGUUUUUUUAUAUAAAAAAAUAAUACUUUGAAAAUAUUAUCAUGUAUUUUUGUAAGAUAAAAAUGUUCAUAUUUUAAAAAAUCAUUCUGUAUUAAAAAAUGUUCCUGUGAUUUUAGAAAAAUAAUAUAUUUUUAAAUAAAUGUUCAAAUAUUUACGAAAAUUGUCCAUGUAACUCUAUAAAUAUUAGUGUAAUUAUCUAAGAGAAUAAAUCAAAAAUAAAAGGGUAACAAUUUUAAGAUUAAGAAAAAUAGAAACGACUAAAAUAAGAUGGAAAAUGGAAAAGUAAAAGGAAAAAAUAGAAAACCCAAAAGAGGCAGAGAAUAGGUGAUCUUAGACGGGCCAGCCCAUUUUGCAGGAGGUGGUAGCGGGGCGGGGCAGAUCGCAGAGAGAGUAUUCCAUUUUUCUUUUCUUCUGGUUGGGGUCUUUUAAGUUUUUCUUUCCUUCUUCUUCUCUGAUCCNNNNNNNNNNNNNNNNNNNNNNNNNNNNNNNNNNNNNNNNNNNNNNNNNNNNNNNNNNNNNNNNNNNNNNNNNNNNNNNNNNNNNNNNNNNNNNNNNNNNNNNNNNNNNNNNNNNNNNNNNNNNNNNNNNNNNNNNNNNNNNNNNNNNNNNNNNNNNNNNNNNNNUCCUUUUUAAAUUUCACUUUCUAUCCCCUUCUUAAAAAUUAAAUAUAAAUAUUUUUUGCAGAUGCAUGAGUACUAUUUCUAAAUCAAAAAGGACAUUUAUAACGUGGUAGUUAUCUAAAUAACACAAAAAAAAUAAAAUGCCUCAAAAAAAUUUAAAACUUACAAGGGACUAUUUUAAAAUAUAUGAAAACGUUUUCAAAAUACAUAAACACUUCGUUAAAUAUAUGAAUAUUUUCGUUAUAUAUGAAGAAUUUUUCAUUCCAUCGACAUUUCCCAAAAUACAUGAACACAAUUUUUUCUAAUUGCGUGAACAUUUAAUGAAAGUGAUAACAUUUUUUAAAAUUUUCAUGGACAUAUUUUAAAAGGAGAAAUUAUUUUGUAGAAUAUUUUUAAAUAACUUAAACAUACUAUUAAAUACAUUAAUAAUUUUUAAACAUCUAAACUAAUGCUCCCUCCGUCCGGAAUUGGUGGACGCUCAAACGGAUGUAUCUAGCACUGAAAUCCGUUUGAGCGACAACUAAUUCCGCACGGAGGGAGUAUUAAAAGAAAAGUGAAAUAUAUAAGUUUUAUACAGUUUCAAAUAAUAAUAGCUUUUGUAAUCCAUGAACUUUUUUAUAAUGCAUGGAUGUUUAAUUAUCUUAGUAGUAAGCAUAUUGCAAUAUAGCUUAAUUUACCAAAAUUUCUUUCAAACUGUUGUUCUAAAACGGGCCACACUAUUCCGACCCAUUUAGUACCAGACUUGGGCGGACACUGUGUUCUUUGCCUCUACUGUUGGCUCAUAGCAGUGCCUACAGACGACCUCAUGGUGGGGCUCGAGAGUUCGAGCCCAAAAAUAUAGCUCACGUCGUUGAACUGUGAUAAGAUUUCACCCGAUAGUGGAUGGGUUUGGUUCCCGGGCCCUGGUGAGCCGGAUUCACUACCAACAAGACCAAGAUGACAUAUUUUCAUGCUCCAAAAUUACGGUUAGUGUUUUUUUAGAAAAUUAAGGUUAGUGAUUUGGUCUUCACCGCAAAUGUUUAUUGAUGUCCAAGUUUGAUGCAUAGUAAUUUGUACAAAUAACACAAAUAUUGCAUUUUGCCAUUGCAAAUGUUUAUUGAUGUCCAUGGUUGUUGACAUUGCCCGUGGAUUUCCAUGUAUGAUUGGAUCCAUUAAUAGCAUGCACUGAAAGUGAAAGAACUGCCCUGCAACAUGACAUGGACAGUUCAAAUGUUACAAGGAUACCACCAACAUUCUUAAGGUUGUGGCCGAUCAAGAGACAUGGAUCUGACAUGCAUACUUAGGGAUGCCUGGUUUUUGCAAUGACAAUAACGUGUUGCCAUGUUCAUCUCUCUUUGCCAACUUAACCAUUGGAGAAUCACUACCGGUGGAGUUCUAAGCAAAUGGUCACAACUACAACAGGGCUACUACCUUGUGGAUGAGUUAUAUCCAAAGUUGUCUACUUUUGUGAAGCCAAUUUAAAGUUCCCAAGGUAAGAAAGAACUCUACUUUCAUAAUGGUCAAGCGGCCGCUAGGAAAGCUGUGGGGAGAGUUUUUGGGAUUUUGCAAGCCCAAUUUACUAUUGUGCGAGGACCGACUUGGUUUUGGGAUCAAGAGAUCCUUUGGUACAUCAUCACGACGUGCGUGAUCAUGCACAACAUGAUCAUUGAGAAUGAGUGUGGGAAGAUUUGCACCUUCUAUAAGCUCAUGGGAAAACCUGUGCAGCUGCGUAGAAGGGAGGAGUGAUGGAUGUGGUAUGGGAAACAACAUCCCUAGUUUCAUCUUAUCGUGUGACGAACAAUUUGUGUGAUGUGAUGAACUAUGUAAUAAUUUAAGGUUGUGGAUCGAUGAAUUUUUUUUUAUGUUUCUAGUAUUUGUGUUUUAUUUGUUUUAAAAUUAUUCGAGGUGAGUUUGAGAUAUGAAUAUGUUCAAUAUGUAUGCAGUUAUCGUGCCCAAUACAGGACAGCUGUUGGGGCAAAUUGGUGCUCUAUUUAUAGGGCUGAUAUUGGAGCAAAAAUAUCAGUUGAUGCAAAAUGCACUUUUGAGUCUCCAGUAACAAUUUGUUGGAGAUGCUCUUGGGAAGUUCACACCUUCAAGUGUAGAUAGUUGCAUAUAACACAUCGUUUUUUUAGGUAUAUAACACAUGGUUGAGUGACCCUAGAGAUAGUACAAACUUAACCUUAAAAAAUAAUCUACAAACAUAAAAUGCAAAGUUACCCUUAAAAAAUAAUAUGCAAACGCAAAUCGGAUCAUUUAGAGGAAAACAUUUUUUUCUCUCCAAGUUUAUUAAUAGCCUUCCACGUGCUAUUGCCAUUACACUUAAACCCACUGGUGCGCGUACAUAUGUUUCUCUGACGAAACGUUAAACACGCUUAAGGCACGACAGGCCUAGUUAUUACUAGUAGAGAGUAGUUAGUUCUAUGUGAUGGUCACCGAGAUGAGGCCGUCGGAUUCUUCGUCCACGACGUCCCCGAACCGGACAACCCUGACGGGCAGGCUCUCCGCCGGCCCCGACGCUGCCGGCGAGAUGGCGUGGUGCACCGACGGCCUGGAGACGAGAUUGUAAGCCUGGAUCCUGUCCACUUUCGUCACCCGCACAGCUUCGUCCACGACGUCCCCUACCCGGACAACACUGACGGCCAGGCUCUCCGCCGGCCCCGACGCCGCCGGCGAGAUGGCGUGGUGCACCGAUGGCCUGGAGACGAGAUUGUAAGCCUGGAUCCUGUCCACUUUGGUCACCCGCACAGCUUCGUCCACGACGUCCCCUACCCGGACAACACUGACGGCCAGGCUCUCCGCCGGCCCCGACGUCGCCGGCGCGAUGGCGUGGUGCACCGACGGCCUGGAGACGAGGUUGUAAGCCUGGAUCCUGUCCACUUUUGUCACCCGCACAGCUCCAUCGACGGGAAGCUCAGCGCCCGUGCUGGUGCUCCCAGCCACCGUCUUGCCCCUGCCACCGCCACCGCCGCCGCACCGGAACAUUCUCGAACUUUCCCUCUCCUGGGUGGAUGCAAAGUUAUCUAACUAGCUGGAGCUAGAUCUGUUUGUAGCUAGAGGAGUGCGUGGUUUCAUUGAGCUCGGUUUUGGUGGUCAUUUAUAGGCUUCAUCGCAGCUUAGCUAGGAGAGGUGUGUUCUUGUGGGACUCCUCCGGAGAUGCUUAAUUCCACACUGACGUGGAGUGCAGUCAUAUUCGACCGAUCAUGAGCUGCUUUAGUUUGGAAUAGAAGCAAAUGAAACAUGGAUAUAAUGCAGGUGAUAGUUAUCUCAAUAUGUUCGGUCGCUUGGAA
rnacentral:lncRNA from 1 species